GGGGGUUUUCAGAAUCUAUCAAGUCCA
rnacentral:piRNA from 1 species